rnacentral:rRNA from 1 species
UACGAAGGGAGCUAGCGUUGUUCGGAAUCACUGGGCGUAAAGCGCACGUAGGCGGAUGUGUCAGUCAGGGGUGAAGUCCCGGAGCUCAACUUCGGAACUGCCUUUGAUACAGCACAUCUGGAGUCCGGAAGAGGUGGGUGGAAUUCCUAGUGUAGAGGUGAAAUUCGUAGAUAUUAGGAAGAACACCGGUGGCGAAGGCGGCCCACUGGUCCGGUACUGACGCUGAGGUGCGAAAGCGUGGGGAGCAAACAGG